GAUGAACGCUGGCGGCGUGCCUAAUACAUGCAAGUCGAGCGAACAGAUAAGGAGCUUGCUCCUUUGAAGUUAGCGGCGGACGGGUGAGUAACACGUGGGUAACCUACCUAUAAGACUGGGAUAACUUCGGGAAACCGGAGCUAAUACCGGAUAACAUUUAGAACCGCAUGGCUCUAAAGUGAAAGAUGGUUUUGCUAUCACUUAUAGAUGGACCCGCGCCGUAUUAGCUAGUUGGUAAGGUAACGGCUUACCAAGGCGACGAUACGUAGCCGACCUGAGAGGGUGAUCGGCCACACUGGAACUGAGACACGGUCCAGACUCCUACGGGAGGCAGCAGUAGGGAAUCUUCCGCAAUGGGCGAAAGCCUGACGGAGCAACGCCGCGUGAGUGAUGAAGGGUUUCGGCUCGUAAAACUCUGUUAUUAGGGAAGAACAAAUGUGUAAGUAACUGUGCGCAUCUUGACGGUACCUAAUCAGAAAGCCACGGCUAACUACGUGCCAGCAGCCGCGGUAAUACGUAGGUGGCAAGCGUUAUCCGGAAUUAUUGGGCGUAAAGCGCGCGUAGGCGGUUUCUUAAGUCUGAUGUGAAAGCCCACGGCUCAACCGUGGAGGGUCAUUGGAAACUGGGAAACUUGAGUGCAGAAGAGGAAAGUGGAAUUCCAUGUGUAGCGGUGAAAUGCGCAGAGAUAUGGAGGAACACCAGUGGCGAAGGCGACUUUCUGGUCUGUAACUGACGCUGAUGUGCGAAAGCGUGGGGAUCAAACAGGAUUAGAUACCCUGGUAGUCCACGCCGUAAACGAUGAGUGCUAAGUGUUAGGGGGUUUCCGCCCCUUAGUGCUGCAGCUAACGCAUUAAGCACUCCGCCUGGGGAGUACGACCGCAAGGUUGAAACUCAAAGGAAUUGACGGGGACCCGCACAAGCGGUGGAGCAUGUGGUUUAAUUCGAAGCAACGCGAAGAACCUUACCAAAUCUUGACAUCCUUUGAAAACUCUAGAGAUAGAGCCUUCCCCUUCGGGGGACAAAGUGACAGGUGGUGCAUGGUUGUCGUCAGCUCGUGUCGUGAGAUGUUGGGUUAAGUCCCGCAACGAGCGCAACCCUUAAGCUUAGUUGCCAUCAUUAAGUUGGGCACUCUAGGUUGACUGCCGGUGACAAACCGGAGGAAGGUGGGGAUGACGUCAAAUCAUCAUGCCCCUUAUGAUUUGGGCUACACACGUGCUACAAUGGACAAUACAAAGGGCAGCUAAACCGCGAGGUCAUGCAAAUCCCAUAAAGUUGUUCUCAGUUCGGAUUGUAGUCUGCAACUCGACUACAUGAAGCUGGAAUCGCUAGUAAUCGUAGAUCAGCAUGCUACGGUGAAUACGUUCCCGGGUCU
rnacentral:rRNA from 1 species